rnacentral:rRNA from 1 species
UCCGUAGGUGAACCUGCGGAAGGAUCAUUACAGUGUGUUUAGUGUUGUGCUUUUAAGAGUACGCACAAAAAGAACACGUCUGUUGACUUGAUUACUUGAACUAAGCUAUCUUGAUCGAUUAUAGACUAACGAUGACGACAAGGUCUUCUUCGAAAAAUAACCUACACGUUAGACCGCUAAAAGAUUAUAAGCGACUACGAAAAGCUCGUAAACGGAUUUUUGAAACGCCUUCGCCUCUAGCGAAUUAGCGUUUUAAAUGUCUAUUGCACGUCCUGAAUAGUAGCAGCCAAAUCGAUAUGCAAAAGCGGACUGCGUGAGGAUUUCGAUAAAGGUCGUCGUCGUUUAAAAAAAUCGAUCGAUAACGCAACGCGAUGGCAUACCGUCGAUUAGUAUACGGCGUAUACAAAAAUCGAAGCGCGUAAGCUGUCGUGGUCGUGAAACAGAAACGAUUUUCUAUGAGUAAUCGUAGCCGGCCUCGCGCACGGUUACGGUGCUCCGUACGGAUCGGCCUGUUCUUUUUCAUCUAUGCUAAAAGAUAAGAAGGAAAUAAGGUAAACGAUCUUCGCGGGUACCUAGAUCACCGUACAACAAGAUUCUCAUAUCUUGUGAGGGGUCAUAAGAGAUGACGAAUUCAAUUUCGUCUCUCGAAGGUAUUUUAAUGAUAUUCGCCCGCCGUAACGGAGUAGAUGUUUGUUAUAAUUUGAUGAUGGCGUCCACGUCGUCGUCGAAUUCUAAAAACGUCCUCUUAGUCAAUCGUUUAAUUUUUUUCAAAAAAAAGGCGCUUAUCCGUCCUAGUCGAACGAAUUACACCUACAGUGUGUUUUGAAGGUGUAUUAUUUUGUUCGCUGGUAUCAUAACGGAGAGUAGCGCUCUUUUAAACACCUGACACCCUAAUAAAUGUUGACGUUAGCCUUUCGAGGCGCGUUAAACGAAAGCAAAAAGAUUACCCUAAACGGUGGAUCACUUGGCUCGUGGGUCGAUGAAGAACGCAGCUAAUUGCGCGUCAACUUGUGAACUGCAGGACACAUGAACAUCGACAUUUCGAACGCACAUUGCGGUCCUCGGAUUCUGUUCCCGGACCACUCCUGGCUGAGGGUCGUAUCUAUUUUAAAGACUGCUCGGUUUUCAUCAUCGUCAGACAUACAGAGUGCUAAUGCAGCGCUCGUCCGACGAGGAAAACGCCAGAGCGAGUUGGAUGUUCUACGCGUUGUAUUAUCGUUGCCGACGUUUAUAUCAUAAAAACGACGAAACGAUAAUAACCGACGCGACAUCUUAAAACGCGAAAGCGGCUGGAUAGUUUCCAAUGUUUAUUGUACUAUCUGGCAUCAUGAGAAGCGUCGUCGUAUGUGUGUGUGUACGUUAACAUGGUGAUAAAACACCGUCGUUAACGUCAAAAGCGAUCGUCGUGUCCGAUAUUUUCGAGUACAAAAUUAACCGGAAAAGACGUCUGAUUGCUAACACACUCACUUAAGACUGGCACGCUUUGACAGAAAAACUUUCGUUUUAUCGACCUCAGAGCAGGUGAGACUACCCGCUGAACUUAAGCAUAU